rnacentral:rRNA from 1 species
CGGGAUCCAUCAGGCUUUGCUUGGUGGUGAGAGUGGCGAACGGGUGAGUAAUGCGUGACCGACCUGCCCCAUACACCGGAAUAGCUCCUGGAAACGGGUGGUAAUGCCGGAUGCUCCAGUUGAUCGCAUGGUCUUCUGGGAAAGCUUUCGCGGUAUGGGAUGGGGUCGCGUCCUAUCAGCUUGACGGCGGGGUAACGGCCCACCGUGGCUUCGACGGGUAGCCGGCCUGAGAGGGCGACCGGCCACAUUGGGACUGAGAUACGGCCCARACUCCUACGGGAGGCAGCAGUGGGGAAUAUUGCACAAUGGGCGCAAGCCUGAUGCAGCGACGCCGCGUGAGGGAUGGAGGCCUUUCGGGUUGUAAACCUCUUUUAUCGGGGAGCAAGCGAGAGUGAGUUUACCCGUUGAAUAAGCACCGGCUAACUACGUGCCAGCAGCCGCGGUAAUACGUAGGGUGCAAGCGUUAUCCGGAAUUAUUGGGCGUAAAGGGCUCGUAGGCGGUUCGUCGCGUCCGGUGUGAAAGUCCAUCGCUUAACGGUGGAUCCGCGCCGGGUACGGGCGGGCUUGAGUGCGGUAGGGGAGACUGGAAUUCCCGGUGUAACGGUGGAAUGUGUAGAUAUCGGGAAGAACACCAAUGGCGAAGGCAGGUCUCUGGGCCGUUACUGACGCUGAGGAGCGAAAGCGUGGGGAGCGAACAGGAUUAGAUACCCUGGUAGUCCACGCCGUAAACGGUGGAUGCUGGAUGUGGGGCCCGUUCCACGGGUUCCGUGUCGGAGCUAACGCGUUAAGCAUCCCGCCUGGGGAGUACGGCCGCAAGGCUAAAACUCAAAGAAAUUGACGGGGGCCCGCACAAGCGGCGGAGCAUGCGGAUUAAUUCGAUGCAACGCGAAGAACCUUACCUGGGCUUGACAUGUUCCCGACGGUCGUAGAGAUACGGCUUCCCUUCGGGGCGGGUUCACAGGUGGUGCAUGGUCGUCGUCAGCUCGUGUCGUGAGAUGUUGGGUUAAGUCCCGCAACGAGCGCAACCCUCGCCCCGUGUUGCCAGCGGAUUAUGCCGGGAACUCACGGGGGACCGCCGGGGUUAACUCGGAGGAAGGUGGGGAUGACGUCAGAUCAUCAUGCCCCUUACGUCCAGGGCUUCACGCAUGCUACAAUGGCCGGUACAACGGGAUGCGACGCGGCGACGCGGAGCGGAUCCCUGAAAACCGGUCUCAGUUCGGAUCGCAGUCUGCAACUCGACUGCGUGAAGGCGGAGUCGCUAGUAAUCGCGAAUCAGC